rnacentral:lncRNA from 1 species
AGGCUUCUCGGGGCAGUGGGGACAGGACAGGGACACCCUCAGAAGGACAGAGGUCCCCCUGAAAUGAGGGGGGGACACCUCACAGGUGACAGGGACACCACGAGAGGCUUCUUGGGGCAUUGGGGACAGGACAGGGAUGUCCCCAGAAGGACAAAGGUCCCCCUGAAAUGAGUGGGGGCACCUCUAGGGUGGCCCAGAACUUUCUUCGGGCAUUGGGGACAGGGCAGGGAUGUCCCCAGAGGGACAGAGAACCCCCUGAAAUGAGUUGGGGACACCUCUGAGGUGACCCAGAACCUUCUCUGGACAUUGGGGACAGAGCAGGGACAUCUCCAGAGUGGCACAGGUCCCCUUGAAAUGAGUUGGGGACACCUCUGAGGUGGCCCAGAACUUUCCUCGGGCGUUGGGAACAGGACAGGGACACCCUCAGAGUGACAGAGGUCCCCCUGAAAUGGGUUGGGGACACCUCUGAGGUGACCCAGACCCUUCUCCGGGCAGUGGGGACACAGUAGAGAUGUCCCCAGAGGGGUGGAGAACCCCCUGAAAUGAGGCGGGGACACCUCUAGGGUGGCCCAGAACUUUCUUCGGGCUUUGGGGACACAGCAGGGACAUCCCCAGAGGGACAGAAGUCCCCCUGAAAUGAGGGGGGGACACCUCUGAGGUGGCCCAGAACCUUCUCCGGACAUUGGGGACACAGCAGGGACAUCCCCACAGUGACACAGAUCCUGGAUGAGCCCCCACCGGGUGACAAGGACCGGGCACAGCCUCAUCACGGCCGCCACCUCCAAGCGCCAAAACCCCAAAAACCCCUCCCAACCUCCCCCCAAAAAAAAACAUCAGAGCUGGGAAAAACACCCAAAAAAAAAAUAAAAUAAUAAAUCGAGGAGGGCAAAGCCCAACCCCGAGGCGCGGCGGGGGCAGGGAGGAGGCGCCUGAAUUUUUUUCCGAAAUUUUUUCCGAAUUUUCAGAAUUUUCCCAUUUUUCCGAAUUUUUUUUUUGUUUUGUUUUUUGGAUUUUUGGGGUUUUUUGGUUUUUUUGGGGGGGUGGGGGCUCAAUGCGCGGCUCGAGGAGGGGUCGGCCGGGACGGAUCGGGGAUUGGGGAGGGGGCUGCCCGUUCACAACGCGAGGAGCGAGGGAGAAUUCAAGGAGUCCGAGGACUGGUCGCUGCUGCUGCUCCGCUGGUGCGAGGCUCCACACGUGGCUCCCUCUGGGUGGGUGAACACAAACGCGGGGGUCGCGUUAGGGGGUCCCGCGGGGGCGCAGCAGCCGGGGAAGGGACCCUGCGGGCCCUGGAACGGCGCCGGGGGCAGGAAGGCGACGGUCCCCGCCUUGCCCGGGCUGCUCACCUCGGCCGGGCCGGCGGCCACGUCCUCGAACGGGACCUUGCAGGCGGGAGCGUGCGCCACCAGCACGAACUCCAGGCGCUCCUUCUCCUUGCGCAGCUCCGCGAUCUCCGACUCCAGCUCCGCCUUCUCCUCCUCCAGCUGGUCCGUCUCCUGCGGGGACAGCGCGGUCACCGGGGUGUCCCCAGAGUGUCCUUAAAAUGUCUUUAAAUUGUCCUUGAAGUGUCCUUAAAUUGUCGUCAAAAUGUCCUUAAAUUGUCCUUAAAGUGUCCUGAAAGUCUUUCAAAUGUCUUUUAAAAUGUCUUUAAAUUGUCCUUAAAGUGUCCUUAAAGUGUCCUUAAAUUGUCUUUAAAGUGUGCUUAAAAUGUCUUUAAAAUGUACUUAAAGUGUCCUUAAAUUGUCCUUGAAGUGUCCUUAAAUUGUCCUUAGAAUGUCUUUAAAAUGUACUUAAAAUGUCUUUAAAGUGUCCUUAAAUUGUCCUUAAAAUGUCCUUAAAGUGUCCCCCAAGUGUCCUUAAAAUUGUCCUUGAAAUGUCUUUAAAAUGUCCUCAAUGUGUCCUUAAAUUGACCUUAAAAUGUCUUUAAAAUGUCCUUAAAAUUACUUUAAAGUGUCCUAAAAGUGUCCCCGAAGUGUCCUUAAAUUGUCCUUAAAUUGUCGGCAAAAUGUCCUUAAAAUGUCCUUAAAGUGUCCUUAAAGUGUCCUUAAAGUGUCUUUAAAAUGUGUUUAAAAUGUCCUUAAAGUGUCCCCGAAGUGUCCUUAGAAUGUCUUUUAAAUGUCCUUAAAAUGUCUUUAAAAUGUCUUUAAAGUGUCCUUAAAUAAAUUGUCUUUAAAUUGUCCUUAAAAUGUCGUUAAAAUGUCUUUAAAAUGUCCUUAAAAUACCCUUAAAGUGUCAUUAAAUUUUCCUUAAAUUGUCCUUAAAGUGUCCUUAAAGUGUCUUUAAAAUGUCUUUAAAGUGUCUUUUAAAAGUCCUUAAAUUGUCCUUAAAAUGUCUUUAAAAUGUGUUUAAAAUGUCUUAAAAUUUCCUUAUGAUUUCCUUAAAGUGUCCUUAAAAUGUACUUAAAGUGUCCUUAAAAUGUCCCUAAAAUGUCCUUAAAAUGUCCUUAAAGUGUCCUUAAAGUGUCCCCAAAGUGUCUUUAAAAUUACUUUAAGUGUCCUUAAAGUGGCCUUAAAGUGUCCUUAAAUUGUCAUUAAAGUGUCUUUAAAAUGUCUUUAAAAUGUCCUUAAAAUGACUUUUAAAAGUCCUUAAAGUGUCACCAAAGUGACCUUAAAAUGUCCUUAAAUUGUCCU